rnacentral:rRNA from 1 species
UACGUAGGGUGCGAGCGUUAAUCGGAAUUCUGGCGUAAAGCGGUGCGCAGGCGGUUUUGUAAGUCUGUCGUGAAAUCCCCGGGCUUAACCUGGGAAUUUGCGAUGGAGACUGCAAGGCUAGAAUCUGGCAGAGGGGGGUAGAAUUCCACGUGUAGCGUGAAAUGCGUAGAGAUGGUGGAGGAACACCGAUGGCGAAGGCAGCCCCCUGGGUCAAGAUUUGGACGC